GAUGAACGCUGGCGGCGUGCCUAAUACAUGCAAGUCGAGCGAACAGACGAGGAGCUUGCUCCUCUGACGUUAGCGGCGGACGGGUGAGUAACACGUGGAUAACCUACCUAUCAGACUGGGAUAACUUCGGGAAACCGGAGCUAAUACCGGAUAAUCUAUUGAACCGCAUGGUUCAAUAGUGAAAGUCGGUGUUGCUGUCACUUAUAGAUGGAUCCGCGCCGCAUUAGCUAGUUGGUAAGGUAACGGCUUAUCACGGCGACGAUGCGUAGCCGACCGGAGAGGGGGAUCGGCCACACGGGAACUGGACCGGGGUCCAGAGUCCUAAGGGAGGGAGCAGUAGGGAAUGUGCCGCAGUGGGCGAAAGCCUGACGGAGCAACGCGGCGUGAGUGAUGAAGAUCUUCGGAUCGUAAAACUCGGUUAUGAGGUAAGAACAGAUGUGUAAGUAAAUAUGCACGGCUUGACGGUACCGGAUCAGAAAGCCACGGCUAACUACGUG
rnacentral:rRNA from 1 species